AAUUAAAUUUGUCAAAAAUGACUUGUACACAAUGAAACAAUAAUUAUUAUUGAAUUGUUUGAAGAUUACCUAUUCAUUAAAUUAUUAAUACAGCAAAAUAAUCAUGAACAGUGAUAAUUUUAUUCAUUAAAUAUUAACCUGUAAUUGAUAAGUUGUAAUAAAAGAUAGCCUUCUACCAUAUCAGUUGUAAUAGUAUUUGAGAUUACUUGUUCAAAUUUCGUAAUAUUAAAAGUAAUAUUGUAAACA